AUUGAACGCUGGCGGCAUGCCUUACACAUGCAAGUCGAGCGAAGCCUUCGGGCUUAGCGGCGGACGGGUGAGUAACGCGUGGGAACGUGCCCUUUGGUACGGAAUAGCCCCGGGAAACUGGGAGUAAUACCGUAUGUGGUCGAGAGACGAAAGAUUUAUCGCCAAAGGAUCGGCCCGCGUUGGAUUAGGUAGUUGGUGGGGUAAUGGCCUACCAAGCCGACGAUCCAUAGCUGGUUUGAGAGGAUGAUCAGCCACACUGGGACUGAGACACGGCCCAGACUCCUACGGGAGGCAGCAGUGGGGAAUCUUAGACAAUGGGGGAAACCCUGAUCUAGCCAUGCCGCGUGAUCGAUGAAGGCCUUAGGGUUGUAAAGAUCUUUCAGUGGGGAAGAUAAUGACUGUACCCACAGAAGAAGCCCCGGCUAACUCCGUGCCAGCCGCCGCAGUAAAAC
rnacentral:rRNA from 1 species